rnacentral:rRNA from 1 species
GAUGAACGCUAGCGGCAGGCUUAAUACAUGCAAGUCGAGGGGCAGCAGGACUGUAGCAAUACAGUUGCUGGCGACCGGCAAACGGGUGCGGAACACGUACGCAACCUACCCAUAACUGGGGAAUAGCCCGGGGAAACCCGGAUUAAUACCUCGUAACCUGGUGAAGUGGCAUCACUUUAUCAGUAUAGCUCCGGCGGUUAUGGAUGGGCGUGCGCCUGAUUAGGUAGUUGGCGGGGUAACGGCCCACCAAGCCUGCGAUCAGUAACUGGUGUGAGAGCACGACCCGUCACACGGGCACGGAGACACGGGCCCGACUCCUACGGGAGGCAGCAGUAAGGAAUAUUGGUCAAUGGACGCAAGUCUGAACCAGCCAUGCCGCGUGAAGGAUGAAGGUCCUCUGGAUUGUAAACUUCUUUUAUAGGGGACGAAACCCGGGUAUUCUUACCCGAUUGACGGUACCCUAGGAAUAAGCACCGGCUAACUCCGUGCCAGCCGCCGCCGUAACAC